GCCAUCUAGCCCAUUUGUAGAAAAGACCCAUCGGAUAAUACCGCGAUACUCGUUCAUACGCAGAAUAUCCAUAGUGUUUUUUUUCUAGAAUAACGGCACCGUAGUGUCUUUGAAUCAAGGUAGUGUCGUGGCGUCUUGUAUACGAAUUAGUGUGACGUACUAGAAGCGUGACUUAAUCGAGGUACCGUCAAGUCUUAGAAUGGAGGUACCGUCACGUCUUAAAAUCGUGGUACCGUGAUGUCUUAGAAUCGAUGUGCUGUCACUUCUUAGAAUCGAUGUAACUUCUUGUUUUAGAAACGAGGUACCGUGACGUCUAAGAAUCGAGGUACCGUGACGUCUAAGAAUCGAGGUACCGUGACGUCUCAGAAUCGAGGUACCGUGACGUCUAAGAAUCGAGGUACCGUGACGUCUUAGAAUCGAGGUACCGUGACGUCUUAGAAUCGAGGUACCGUGACGUCUUAGAAUCGAGAUACCGUGACGUCUAAGAAUCGAGGUACCGUGACGUCUUAGAAUCGAGGUACCGUGACGUCUUAGAAUCGAGUUACCGGGAUAUUAAAAUUUGCGCUACUUUUUAAGGAUUGCAUGGCAGAAGAACCUAAAUUUGGUUUUGUCUGCAACAUACAGUUUAGCGCAAUUCCUGUUGGCAAGUUUCGCAGUUCCGUUAACGAUUUGACUAUAUAGAAUCGGUCACUGAAUUGAUUUCGGAAUCA